GGACGGUUAGCUCAGCGGUAGAGCAUUGCAUUCACAUUGCAGGGGUCGCAGGUUCGAAUCCUGUACCGUCCA
rnacentral:tRNA from 1 species